GGCCGCGGGAAUUCGAUUCAGGCCUAACACAUGCAAGUCGAACGGCAGCACGGACUUCGGUCUGGUGGCGAGUGGCGAACGGGUGAGUAAUAUAUCGGAACAUACCCAGUAGUGGGGGAUAACUAUCCGAAAGGAUAGCUAAUACCGCAUACGAUCUGUGGAUGAAAGCAGGGGAUCUUCGGACCUUGUGCUAUUGGAAUGGCCGAUAUCUGAUUAGCUAGUUGGUAGGGUAAAAGCCUACCAAGGCGACGAUCAGUAGCUGGUCUGAGAGGACGACCAGCCACACUGGAACUGAGACACGGUCCAGACUCCUACGGGAGGCAGCAGUGGGGAAUUUUGGACAAUGGGGGCAACCCU
rnacentral:rRNA from 1 species